GAACGGCAGCAUGAGGUGUAGCAAUACCCUUGAUGGCGAGUGGCGGACGGGUGAGGAAUGCAUCGGAAUCUGCCCAGUCGUGGGGGACAACGCAGGGAAACUUGCGCUAAUACCGCAUACGACCUUCGGGUGAAAGCAGGGGAUCUUCGGACCUUGCGCGAUUGGAUGAGCCGAUGCCGGAUUAGCUAGUUGGCGGGGUAAUGGCCCACCAAGGCGACGAUCCGUAGCUGGUCUGAGAGGAUGAUCAGCCACACUGGGACUGAGACACGGCCCAGACUCCUACGGGAGGCAGCAGUGGGGAAUAUUGGACAAUGGGGGCAACCCUGAUCCAGCAAUGCCGCGUGUGUGAAGAAGGCCUUCGGGUUGUAAAGCACUUUUAUCGGGAACGAAACAUUGUCGGCCAAUACCCGGCAAGACUGACGGUACCCGAGGAAUAAGCACCGGCUAACUCCGUGCCAGCAGCCGCGGUAAU
rnacentral:rRNA from 1 species